CAGUCCAAGGAGGGCUGAGGGUAAGGAGACUUCCCCUAGUAAGAGCGUACCCCGAGGGGUGUCACACUGAUGAGAACUCUGCUUGGGUUUGGUUCAGAGCUAUUCCAGAGCACUGAGCAUGUGUCAGCCCCCCAUCAUGUGACCUGCAGGCUCCACUCUGGCAAAGCGCCCUGUCCCUGGGCUUUAGCAUCACUAGCCCCUGCUUAGGGGUCAGUUUAGGGCAAUGGUCCCCAAAAUGUGCGGCAUGACUCCUAGGGGGGCACAGAGGAAUGUUCACGGAGGCACCUCAGGGCCUGAGCCAGUCCCAAUGGAGGGCAGGGAGGAAGCACCACUCAGCCCCACUCUGUCCCAGCUCUUCAGCCACCCUACCCUCAGACUGAGCCCCUGGCCCAGUCACGACCCCCUUACCUGUGUCUGCAUCCCUUGCCACAGCACC